CCUACGGGAGGCAGCAGUGGGGAAUAUUGCACAAUGGGCGAAAGCCUGAUGCAGCGACGCCGCGUGAGGGAUGACGGCCUUCGGGUUGUAAACCUCUUUCAGCAGGGAAGAAGCGAGAGUGACGGUACCUGCAGAAGAAGCGCCGGCUAACUACGUGCCAGCAGCCGCGGUAAUACGUAGGGCGCAAGCGUUGUCCGGAAUUAUUGGGCGUAAAGAGCUCGUAGGCGGCUUGUUGCGUCGGUUGUGAAAGCCCGGGGCUUAACCCCGGGUCUGCAGUCGAUACGGGCAGGCUAGAGUGUGGUAGGGGAGAUCGGAAUUCCUGGUGUAGCGGUGAAAUGCGCAGAUAUCAGGAGGAACACCGGUGGCGAAGGCGGAUCUCUGGGCCAUUACUGACGCUGAGGAGCGAAAGCGUGGGGAGCGAACAGGAUUAGAUACCCUGGUAGUCCACGCCGUAAACGUUGGGAACUAGGUGUUGGCGACAUUCCACGUCGUCGGUGCCGCAGCUAACGCAUUAAGUUCCCCGCCUGGGGAGUACGGCCGCAAGGCUAAAACUCAAAGGAAUUGACGGCNGAGACGNGCGACGCGACGACGAGGGAGAGG
rnacentral:rRNA from 1 species